rnacentral:rRNA from 1 species
UACGAAGGGGGCUAGCGUUGCUCGGAAUCACUGGGCGUAAAGGGUGCGUAGGCGGGUUUUUAAGUCAGAGGUGAAAUCCUGGAGCUCAACUCCAGAACUGCCUUUGAUACUGAAAGUCUUGAGUAUGGGAGAGGUGAGUGGAACUGCGAGUGUAGAGGUGAAAUUCGUAGAUAUUCGCAAGAACACCAGUGGCGAAGGCGGCUCACUGGCCCAUAACUGACGCUGAGGCACGAAAGCGUGGGGAGCAAACAGGAUAGAAACCCCUGUA